UUAAAAGGCGCUUCGGCGUCACCUAGAGAUGGAUCCGCGGUGCAUUAGUUAGUUGGUGGGGUAAAGGCCUACCAAGACAAUGAUGCAUAGCCGAGUUGAGAGACUGAUCGGCCACAUUGGGACUGAGACACGGCCCAAACUCCUACGGGAGGCUGCAGUAGGGAAUCUUCCACAAUGGGCGAAAGCCUGAUGGAGCAACGCCGCGUGUGUGAUGAAGGCUUUCGGGUCGUAAAGCACUGUUGUAUGGGAAGAACAGCUAGAAUAGGAAAUGAUUUUAGUUUGACGGUACCAUACCAGAAAGGGACGGCUAAAUACGUGCCAGCAGCCGCGGUAAUACGUAUGUCCCGAGCGUUAUCCGGAUUUAUUGGGCGUAAAGCGAGCGCAGACGGUUUAUUAAGUCUGAUGUGAAAGCCCGGAGCUCAACUCCGGAAUGGCAUUGGAAACUGGUUAACUUGAGUGCAGUAGAGGUAAGUGGAACUCCAUGUGUAGCGGUGGAAUGCGUAGAUAUAUGGAAGAACACCAGUGGCGAAGGCGGCUUACUGGACUGCAACUGACG
rnacentral:rRNA from 1 species